UUGAAUUUCUCUAGCCUCUUGUGUCUAACUCUAAUGCCCAAAAGGCCUGCUAAUCUUCCACUGCUGCCUACGCCACUCGAGCAAGAAAUCCAUCUGUAAAAUGAUGCUAACCACAAUAGCUGAGUUGGAUGGACCCUUACGCCUAAACCUGGUGUGGAGCAGGCAAAUUUUAUUCAGCUUAUUCAAACCAGGAAACCAAGUAUUCAGAUUGACCUGCCUACCCAGGCUGGUUGAUUAAGUGAGGUGUUUUUCUGAUUCAUCACUGAUUCAAUCUCAUGUUAGAAUCACAAGGAACGUCUGUUUCUUACGUAUGUGUGAUGUUUGAUGUUUUAACUUGGAAUGGGACUCUGCUUAUGCAGUUUAGCGAGAUACAAUUUCAAUCUCAAUUUGCAUGCUUAUGUUUUCAGGAGGGAGUUGUCCUCGACUUAAUGGUUACAUGCCAAAUGGUAGUGAACCUCUACUUCUGUUCUUAAUUGGGGCAAUGUUGGGUUUGGGGACCAUUACUGUUGAUUUGAAUUCUAGUGGCACGCCCUGCAGUCUAUAGCAUCUAAUUGUUGUUUCCUAAUUCUGCCGGAUAUCCUGUGUUAUAAUGACUGUAUGUGGUGCAAAAUUGUGCUUCAUGUGAUGAAAGGGUUCCUUCUUCACUUCCCUUGACUAUCUCUUGUUAAACUAGGAUGAUUAUAGUGGUGGACGUUUAGCAGAAAUCUCUUCGAUAUUGAUAUAGGAUCGAAUAAUCUCUUUUGGGUGCUCAUUUGUAGUUGAUUGUAGCAGGUGAUUUGGGAGAAGACUUAAAAAGAGAAAUGACUACAUCCACGAAGAAAAGUUUGUGACUUGGUCCUGAACAUCCAACUCUCCCUUCUACGCUUCAGCAUGUUGUGCUGUUCGUUUUGCUGGGAAUACAUAUAUUACAUGCGCAGAUAUUCUAUCGCUAUACGUUGGAGAAUCUGCAGCCAAAAAUUUGGGCUUACACCUAGAUAUCAGUUGGAUUUUUCUCGCAGCCUUGUAACAAGCUGUAUAUGUAUUCUCCAGCUGUUCAUAGUGAACUAACUAUUCAUAUUGAUGUCUUAGUUGUUCUGUCGAAUCUGUAAAAGUUUUCUCUUGAAUCUUAAUGAGUACUGCCUCACACGUUAGUCAAUCAUUGAGUACGACAAGACUCUUCUUUUUCUGUUUUUAUCCAGUCACUUCAUUGUCUUAUGUAACAGCAAGAAGAUGGUCAAAUAGUUUGGAACAAUGUUUCUUUUCAUAAUAUGAUUCCUUAUAAUUUGUUCUUUUUGUCUUGUCUCGUUUCUUAUUUGGUGAUCCUGCUUAAGGAUUUAUGAUUCACUUUUACCUGAUUCGGGCCAUGGAGCUUCACAUAUGACAUUCCCCAUGUGACAAGAUUCAGUUCUCUCAUGAAGAUUACUUUGUAUAUGUCCAAAUUAUUUUGGACGUACUUGAUUUCUUGUUUCUUUCUUAUUUGCUCUUUUGCCUUUGUUCCUUUGCUCUUCUACUGGAUACUGGUUUUGUUGUUUUCUGUUCUUUUUUCUUCUGUUUUUUUUUGCUGGAGAACGAAAGGAAGGGAUAGGGUGCUAGCCCCAGAAGCAGUGAUAUAUUAUCUUCUUCGGGUUACUCUUCAGCUGAAAACUGUUGGUAUAUCAGCCUUGAAGUCAUUCAAAUACUCUCUUAGCAUGUGUGCUAAGUUAGUAUUUUUAUUCCUUCAGCAGCACUAUUUGCUUUCAUUGCUCAGAUAUCACUGAAGCAUAUUGGUAGAUUCAUCAUGGGAGAAGUGUUGGUUCUCUAUGUAAUUUUCUUCAUGGAAGAUUUUUCUGGGGCUUUUUCGGCUGCUAUCAGCGAACUUGUUCAGAAAUGGGAGGCAAUGAACAGGUAAAAGUCACCUGCACUGCAAGUAUUUUGGAGCCAUUUGAAUUUAUGACUCCGUUGUGAGUUUUAUUGUUAAUCAUUGGCAAAUCACCUGCUGUUCAAAGUACGUUGCUUAGAUAACAGAUUGUUCUUAGUUGAACAAAAUGCGAUACAUCAGUGGAUAACUUGAGUUAUCAAGACCAAGGAAAAUGGUAUAGUUUUUCUAAUCCUCCAUCUUGGACCAUGAUCUUUAUCUCCUAAUGUUAAAAUGAAACAAGUCCUUUGGAUUGUUAUCAGGCCCACUAAGGAGAUCAUCAUAUAGGCCCUCCAACCAAACUACUUAGUUCUAGAAUGAAAUGUUUGGUUUAAAACAAUGUUUCCCGACAUGUGAUAUCUCUAAAGAUUUAAUAUUGUGCACUUUUGUUGGUAUAGCACUAACUAUUGUAGUGUUUCUUGGAAACAAAAGGAAGAACAGCCAUCUUCUACAUCGAUUUGAUAAUAGCUGACUGUUAGGCAAUUUGGACUGCCAAGAUUAUGCCGUGUCCAGCCCGUAGGAGCAAACAAGCAAAACCAUUAAGAAAUUGCAUUUUGAGACAGAGCUUAUAUAGAUUAGGAGAAGCAUAUAAGACUAGAAGAAUCUGGUGUCCUCAGGCUCGUGGUUGCUUGAUUUGGAAAUUAUUGCUAGAAGUGGUAAUAUAUUGUGUGGAUGUUUCUGAGGUGGGGAUAAGUGACACUCAUGAAGUUCAUAUACUAUGAUGCCUUUCUGUGCGUCAUAUUUUAGCUAUGGCUUCUUGACAUCAAUGUAUGCAUUGUAGAGAUUGGGUUUUUCUCGAACUAAUUCAUUCUCAGCCAUGAGUUUAUAAAAAAAAUUUCAUCUGCAAUUUUCAUUCUAAUUUAAUGCAUAAGAAGCCCACCACCACCGCUACGGCAGUUAGAAUGACAGAUUUUAAUCAGCCUGUAAUUGCACCUUCCCCAAGAAAACAAAACUUUCUAAUAUUACAGGAGCACAUUUGGUAUAUUUCCCACACAACAAUUAUAACUAUGAAAAGAGAUACUGCAGUUUUCUCAAGAUGUUUAGCAAACAUUUUACGAUGCUUGCAUUGCGUCCUCAUUAUCCCCACAACUUACAGCGCUGUUGCACUUAGUUUCAAGGUGCUGCAACAUUAGAAUAUAUAGUAUCAAGUGCUUUAGCUACAACACUUCAUAAGGAUAAAUAUAGUUUGCUCUAUCUGAACCAACUGUACCACUUGAAUUAUAUGAAUUUGAUGAAUGUUCUAUUAGCAGGAUAACCUUUUACUUUCAGGAUCGCUCAAUCAUUAAUUUGACAGUUUUAUACUCUUCAGCACCCAUUAAAUCAUUCUUUCCAGUUUUAAGCUUUGGUCAGUCCCAUUUUGUGCCCUGUACUUGCACAUUUAAAAUAUGUUUAAUAAGUUUUCUAAAGGGUAUUGUGCUGUUAUACGAAUCACAGCACAUUAAGGAAUGUGUUCUAUUCCGAUAUCUCGGAGUGAACAUUUGAUGGACUGCAAGUGCCGGGUAAAUUCUAAUGAGAAAGGUUUGUUAAAGAAUUUGGUCCCACAAGAUACCAUGUGCUGACAAAAGAUGCAUUGAGAAGCUUUUCGCCUGAAUGGUACUUUCAAAUUUCAGCUGUCCAAAAUUUUGCAGGAUAGUACUUGGAAUUUGGAGCAUUAUCUCCACAGUUAUUAUAUAUACAGUUCAUAGCUUCUCAAGAAAAUUAUAUUUAUGCUGUGCAUGGAAGUUGAGACUUACUUGAAAAAUACGUAAGUUACGAAAAUGGAGCUGAACAAUAAGAAAAUUCCGAAGUGUUGGGUGUUGUAGAUGUGCUAUUUGGUUGAAAGAACUGGAUUCCUCAUUUACAAUACUCUGUACUGGUUCUGAACAUGCAAUGAGUUGCAAUGAGUUACUAGCGAUGUCAAUAGGUUUCUUUAUCUAAUUGAGGCUAAUAUAUUCAUAUAUCCUUUUACUGCCAUAUUUUAUUCGUCUUUGUAUGUUUUUCUUCUCUUCCAUCACAUUGGUCAAGAUGCCUCAAAAAUUGUGGGACGAAGAUAAGCAUGCAUAUCAAUGGGAUUAGUUAUUAUAAAGAACUGGCUGCUGGGAAUUAUAUCUGGAGUCUUUCUCAAGUGUUGACAAAAAGGAUUAGCCGUUUUCUUUUUGGAAGUUGCGCUGUUUUUUUCCAACGGAAAUACUAGAGAGGGAAAGCAAAGGAAGGAAAGAAGGUUUGGCGAUGAUGAGGAUUGGAAGGAAGAAAAAGGUGCCAAAGGAAGGUUUAGUGAGAGGAAGAGAUGAGAUGAGAUUCCCUGAUGGAAGCUGACACAACUGCUUGUAUGUUAGAGAAAGGUGAGAGAGGGGAAUUUUGCAUUGAAGCUUUCGGUUUGUCUGGUUGUGCCUCAUGAGAAGAUUGUGAGGGAAAAAAGUUUGAGAAAGAAAGAGGACAUCUUCUUUAUGGGGCAAAAUGGCAUGUAUUGUACCUAAACCCUGCAACUUAUACAUGGUACUUUUUGAAAGCUAGGAUAUACCCAUAAUUCUCAUUCUGAAACUUACUUUCAUUAAUCCCUAGGUCCCCCCUCCAGGACCCCCACUCCCUCUGUCUCUCUCAGGCGGUGGUGAAUAUACAUUGUUAUUCUAAGAACUUUCCCUUUUUGUUAUGCCAAAGCUGUAGACGCCCUAUGGAAUCAUAUGCUAGCACUUUUCCUUCGCAUGCCAAUUGGAUAGCAGUUAAGGUUUAAGCUGCCAACAAAAAGCUGUAACACGUUAUACAAGGACAUGCACAGACAUUGAUAAAGUUCGAAGGAAGAAAGAGGACUUGAGAGGAAUGUGGGUAAUAAUUCAAAACUUUCAUACUUCUAUCGGAGCAUCUUUUUCGCAUGGCCGUUGACAUUUCUCUCUUUUGUGUGUGUUUGUGUUUUUUUUUUCCUCCCCAUCACUUCUUCUAUCCUUUUCUUUCUUUUCUUUGCCUCUCUUUCUUUUGGUUUUAGUAGUACCACUUUCUUGUCCCGGACCACCACCGGCACCACCACCAGGCACAAAUUCACAUACAACAUCAACUUAGUUGCCUUUUCAACUCACGCUCACAUUACAGCAUUCUUUUUUAACAGCCUCUCUUUGCUCCUCUUUAGAAAAGGUUACAUAUCCUUAGAUUUUCUUCUUCCGUUAUCUCUCUGGCUCUAUUUUCUAAAUCUCAUGAAAAGAAAGUGGGUGAUGAGGAAAAGAAUUUCUUGGAAUUGGUAAAUUCCUAGCAUUCAACAAAAAAAGGCUUGGGAGAUAUAAAAGUGAGAUGCGCGGGAUUUCCAAAGCAGCAAUUUCUUUUUUCCCUUUUGGGACAAAAGGGUGUUAAUUUUUUUUUUCUUUUCUUGCAUUAUUGCUUCCACUGUGCUCGAUUUGGGUUGAGAGAGUAGACGUUAUGGACUGUCUUGUUGCUCAUCCAUUCAAGGAUUGGGUCACUUGGAGCUAAAUUAGCAGUACAACUAAUAUAACAAAAGUAAGAUGCUUGUGCAUAUGUUUUUAUGGGUCAUUGGGUCUUGCUUAUGCAUAUGAUUAAGCCACUUAGAGCUAAAUUAGCUGUACCACUAAUAUACCCGAAAGUCAGAUUCUUGUGCAUAUGUUCUUAUGGGUCACUAGGUCUUGAUAAUUUUUUUAGCAAUGUGAUAUGCCAUUUAGUUUUGUAAUUCAGAGUUGAUCCUUGCUAUGGCAAAUGAAUGCCAAAAGCAGAAGCUCAUUACUUCAGGGUAUUCACUGACAAUGAUCUUGAUCAGCUUAUUAGAGGAUUCAUCCUUCGGAAAGUACAUAAUUUAGCGAAAGGUGUGAGCUGAUGACCAUCUUUUAAUUUUCUGGGACCCCAAUUUUUGUUUGCAUUCAUAUGAUAUCGAAGCAUAUGAAUGUACCUUGACAAACAUAGGAUACCACAACCAUCAUGGACCCAGUUCAACUCUUUAAAACUCCAACCCCGCCCCCCCCCCCUCUCUCUCCCCCCACUUCCUUUUUAGGCGCAAGUUGGGGGAAGUAUUCGCGGUUCUGCUUUACUUUAGCGGGAAAACUUUCGAUUAAACUCAAACUAUUACCCCACGAAGAUGAGCCGAACUAGUGGCUUCGGUAUGCUAUACAUGACUGCGAAACACAACUUCGUACUCCAUGUUAGCAUGUGAUCGGAGAACAGCGCAACCUAAAUCUUGGAAAUUCAGCACUUGGAAUUUCCAAGAUCAAACCAAAAACAAGCUCAAAAUCUGGUUCUUUCUGUAGAUGCUGAGUCAUAAGAUUUACAUAGGACCAGUAUACUGAAGCACUGAACAAGAUGUCCAGAAACAAGACCGGUGAAAUCCAACUGACCCUACAGAGCACAACGGGAAGCAUUAGCUAUCGAUGUCUAAAUAAUAGAACACAUGAAGAAGAUGCCAUCUGUU